rnacentral:lncRNA from 1 species
AUUCUGUCUCACUUUAGCUUCUUUUCACACUCAAGGAAUAUCUCUUAAACUCAAAUGGGAUCAUCUCAUUCUACUCCUUUGUUUACUGAAUAAUUCUACCAGAGUUUUAUCAUCCAUGGCAAAUUGCUCUUUGCCCUAAAAUCUGUUCUUCCCUUCAUCCUGGACAUACCCAUUCCACCCCCAGCUAGAGACUACAUUUCUCAGCCUCCUUUGUGGCUAGGUGGCCAUUGACUAAGUUCUCAUCCACGGAAUGGGACGAUGUAAUAUGUACGCUUAUUUAAAAAGAAAUUGCUACUCUGACCUUCGUCUCUUUCUUCUUCCCAUGAGCUAAAACGUAGAUACGUCCGUGACCCAACUUCAACCAACCACGCAACGUCAAUGACCCAGGGGAUGCUGGAGCAACAGGAAGGAAGGAAUUGAUUGAACAAUCACGUGGAGCAAAGCCACGUUGUUAUUUAGGGCUACUACUUAAAUCAGAGAUCAUCUCUGUCUUCUUUAAGCCACUUCAGUUUGGAGGCUUUUUGUUCUAACAGGGCAUAGAAACUAGAACUCCUCUCCCUCAAAGCAAGCCAUAAAACCUAGAAAUGUCACUCUCUGACCUUCUCCCUGAAGACCC